rnacentral:rRNA from 1 species
AGAGUUUGAUCCUGGCUCAGGAUGAACGCUGGCGGCGUGCUUAACACAUGCAAGUCGAACGGGGAUGUAAGCGGAAGUUUUCGGAUGGAAGCUUAUAUCCUAGUGGCGGACAGGUAAGUAACGCGUGGGUAACCUGCCCUGCACAGGGGGAUAACAGCCGGAAACGGCUGCUAAUACCGCAUAAGCGCACGAUGCCGCAUGGCAACGUGUGAAAAACUCUGGUGGUAUGGGAUGGACCCGCGUCUGAUUAGCCAGUUGGCGGGGCAACGGCCCACCAAAGCGACGAUCAGUAGCCGGCCUGAGAGGGUGGACGGCCACAUUGGGACUGAGACACGGCCCAGACUCCUGCGGGAGGCAGCAGUGGGGAAUAUUGCACAAUGGGGGAAACCCUGAUGCAGCGACGCCGCGUGAGCGAAGAAGUAUUUCGGUAUGUAAAGCUCUAUCAGCAGGGAAGAAAGUGACGGUACCUGAGUAAGAAGCCCCGGCUAACUACGUGCCAGCAGCCGCGGUAAUACGUAGGGGGCAAGCGUUAUCCGGAAUUACUGGGUGUAAAGGGAGCGUAGACGGCGAGGCAAGUCUGAAGUGAAAGCCCAGUGCUUAACGCAGGGACUGCUUUGGAAACUGUUUGGCUGGAGUGCCGGAGAGGUAAGCGGAAUUCCUAGUGUAGCGGUGAAAUGCGUAGAUAUUAGGAAGAACACCAGUGGCGAAGGCGGCUUACUGGACGGUAACUGACGUUGAGGCUCGAAAGCGUGGGGAGCAAACAGGAUUAGAUACCCUGGUAGUCCACGCGGUAAACGAUGAAUACUAGGUGUGGGGGGACUGACCCCCUCCGUGCCGCAGUUAACACAAUAAGUAUUCCACCUGGGGAGUACGGCCGCAAGGUUGAAACUCAAAGGAAUUGACGGGGGCCCGCACAAGCAGUGGAUUAUGUGGUUUAAUUCGAAGCAACGCGAAGAACCUUACCAGGGCUUGACAUCCAACUAACGAGGCAGAGAUGCGUCAGGUGCCCUUCGGGGAAAGUUGAGACAGGUGGUGCAUGGUUGUCGUCAGCUCGUGUCGUGAGAUGUUGGGUUAAGUCCCAUAACGAGCGCAACCCUUAUUGUUAGUUGCUACGCGAGAGCACUCUAGCGAGACUGCCGUUGACAAAACGGAGGAAGGUGGGGACGACGUCAAAUCAUCAUGCCCCUUAUGUCCUGGGCUACACACGUAAUACAAUGGCAUAUAACAAAGGGAAGCGAAGCCGCGAGGCAGAGCAAAUCCCGAAAAUGUGUCUCAGUUCGGAUCGCAGGCUGCAACCCGCCUGCGUGAAGUCGGAAUUGCUAGUAAUCGUGGAUCAGCAUGCCACGGUGAAUACGUUCCCGGGCCUUGCACUCAACGCCCGUCA